rnacentral:rRNA from 1 species
CCUACGGGAGGCAGCAGUGAGGAAUAUUGGUCAAUGGGCGCUAGCCUGAACCAGCCACGUAGCGUGAAGGAUGACUGCCCUAUGGGUUGUAAACUUCUUUUAUAUGGGAAUAAAGUGCAGUAUGUAUACUGCUUUGCAUGUACCUUAUGAAUAAGGAUCGGCUAACUCCGUGCCAGAAGCCGCGGUAAUACGGAGGAUCCGAGCGUUAUCCGGAUUUAUUGGGUUUAAAGGGAGCGUAGGCGGGUUGUUAAGUCAGUUGUGAAAGUUUGCGGCUCAACCGUAAAAUUGCAGUUGAUACUGGCAUCCUUGAGUACAGUAGAGGUAGGCGGAAUUCGUGGUGUAGCGGAGAAAUGCGUAGAUAUCACGAAGAACUCCGAUUGCGAAGGCAGCCUGCUGGACUGUAACUGACGCUGAUGCUCGAAAGUGUGGGUAGCAAACAGGAUUAGAUACCCGUGUAGUC